rnacentral:snRNA from 1 species
GUACUUGCUUCCGCACAUAUACUAAAACUGAACCGACAAAGAAGAUUAGCAGGACUCUGCACAAGGAUGACAUGCAAGUUCUUGGAGUGUUUAUAAAAACC